rnacentral:piRNA from 1 species
UCGAUCUAUAGAUGACAUUCA